rnacentral:rRNA from 1 species
UACGGAAGGCAGCAGUGGGGAAUAUUGCACAAUGGGCGCAAGCCUGAUGCAGCCAUGCCGCGUGUAUGAAGAAGGCCUUCGAGUUGUAAAGUACUUUCAGUCGUGAGGAAGGUGUUAAGGUUAAUAACCUUAGCAAUUGACGUUAGCGACAGAAGAAGCACCGGCUAACUCCGUGCCAGCAGCCGCGGUAAUACGGAGGGUGCGAGCGUUAAUCGGAAUUACUGGGCGUAAAGGGCACGCAGGCGGUUAAUUAAGUUGGAUGUGAAAUCCCCGGGCUUAACCUGGGAAUGGCAUUCAAGACUGGUUAGCUAGAGUCUUGUAGAGGGGGUAGAAUUCCAUGUGUAGCGGUGAAAUGCGUAGAGAUGUGGAGGAAUACCGGUGGCGAAGGCGGCCCCUGGACAAAGACUGACGCUCAUGUGCGAAAGCGUGGGGAGCAAACAGGAUUAGAUACC